GUUAAACAAAGGAAUGGUGGGGAUUGUUUGUUGCUGUCGCCGCUGAAAGAACUCUGUUCGUGUAUGUGUGUUAGCAGGUAGCCAACCAGGCGAGAAUCCGAGAAGUGCACUUAGCAGAUUCACGGUUGGGUUGGGUAUCAACCGUGGCCUAAGUGGCACUGCUGGUCUACCGUUUGCAUACGUAUUAGCUAUGGAGCAAGUAUGCUGAGCAAGCAAUCGUAGUGGUGUUAGUAGUGCUUGUUACCUGGAGUGGAAUCGAGCCGGGGUGCUUGCGGGCCACUGUUUCUUCCCUCCACUGAGUUUUUGUUUUUAUUAUUGUGUGCCUUGCAAGUGGUAUAAGUGUUUCUUGUAUCUAUUUUUAUGGAUUGUAGUUUCUUGUUUAGGAUAUAGUAUUGGGAUUGAGGUUUUUAGGUAUUACCACUGUUAUUUAUGGAACUUUUGUAAUAGCAUAUCACAGGUCGUUUGUUCAUGGUUGCACCCUGGAAGGUGUUUACUUUUAUUCUUUUCUUUGACUUGUGAUCAAGGGGUGGGUUGCCCUGGUGCUCUGGCUGUGCCAUCUUUGGGUGUUUUAUUUGUUGUGUAGUAUUGCUGUGGGUGAUUUUUAUUUGGUGAGCGUUGGUUUGUAUGGUCAUUUGGUCAUUGAUUGGGGGUACUUUUGGGUGAAAAGCAUCAUGGGCUUGGGCACCUCCUUGGCCACAUUUGUUUAUUUGGGGCCUGUGCUAUGCUAACUAGUCUUGGUAAGUAGCCUGAAUCCCAUACAGUUAUCAAUAGUAACUACAACUUUCGAGACUCUUUGUUCUUAAUGUUUUUUUUGUAAUUGUAAAAUAAAAUGUACUGCAAUGUUA